CAGGUGCCGCACCCAUUGUACAAGCCAACAAAGAGCAAGAUUGUGCCCUGUGCAGACUCACUCUGUACUACACUGCUCAGCUCACAGAUUCCUAACAACAAGCAGUGCCCCUCACCACACCAAUGCGACUACAAAAUCAAGUACACGGACAGCUCGUCUUCUCGCGGUGUGCUCGUUACCGACAGCUUCGGCCUAACCCUACGGAAUUCAUCCCGUGUUAGUCGCAGCCUCACCUUUGGCUGUGGCUAUGACCAGCAGGUGGGAAAGAAUGGGGCAGUGCAGGCAGCGACAGAUGGCUUGCUUGGGCUUGGGAGGGGAUCAGUUAGCUUGGUCUCGCAGCUCAAGCAGCAAGGCAUCACCAAGAAUGUACUUGCCCAUUGCCUCAGUACGAACGGAGGAGGGUUCCUCUACUUUGGGGAUGAUAUCGUGUCUACCUCACGCGCAACGUGGGUGCCGAUGGCUCGUAGCACAUCUGGGAAUUACUACUCACCUGGCUCAGGAACACUUUACUUCGAUAAACACCCACUAGGAGUGAAGCCAACGGAGGUGGUAUUUGAUAGAGGUAGCACCUAUACGUACUUUGCUGCCCAGCCAUACCAAGCGACUGUUUCUGCGAUCCAAGCUGGUCUCAGCAAGUCACUUACGAAGGUGUCUGACCCCAGUCUACCUCUUUGCUGGAAAGGGCAGAAAGUGUUUAAAUCUGUGUCUGACAUCAAGAAGGAGUUCAAAUCACUCUUCCUGAUGUUUUCGAAGAAUACAGCCAUGGAGAUCGCUCCUGAAAACUACCUCAUUGUUACCAAAAAUGGAAAUGUGUGCUUGGGCAUUCUUGACGGGUCGGUGGCCAAACUUAAUUUCAACAUAAUUGGAGAUAUCACAAUGCAGGAUCAGUUGGUAAUUUAUGACAAUGAGAAAGGGAAACUUGGAUGGAUCCGUGGAUCAUGCAGUAGGGGCACUAAGUAU
rnacentral:rRNA from 1 species